rnacentral:rRNA from 1 species
GAUGAACGCUGGCGGCGUGCCUAAUACAUGCAAGUAGAACGCUGAAGCUUGGUGCUUGCACCGAGCGGAUGAGUUGCGAACGGGUGAGUAACGCGUAGGUAACCUGCCUCUUAGCGGGGGAUAACUAUUGGAAACGAUAGCUAAUACCGCAUAAAAGUCGACAUUGCAUGAUGUUGACUUGAAAGGUGCAAAUGCAUCACUAAGAGAUGGACCUGCGUUGUAUUAGCUAGUUGGUGAGGUAACGGCUCACCAAGGCGACGAUACAUAGCCGACCUGAGAGGGUGAUCGGCCACACUGGGACUGAGACACGGCCCAGACUCCUACGGGAGGCAGCAGUAGGGAAUCUUCGGCGAUGGGGGCAACCCUGACCGAGCAACGCCGCGUGAGUGAAGAAGGUUUUCGGAUCGUAAAGCUCUGUUGUAAGAGAAGAACGAGUGUGAGAGUGGAAAGUUCACACUGUGACG